rfam:Picea glauca, whole genome shotgun sequence.
GGUCUUGCAAAUGGGGUAGCAAGCUAAGUGGGCUUGAUUGUGGGGAAAACUCAAUAGUUAAGCGUGCUUGAGCCAGAGGGGUCUUGGGAUGGGUGACCACCUGGGAAGUCCUGGUUAUCGAGUGCA